rnacentral:rRNA from 1 species
UACGAAGGGGGCUAGCGUUGCUCGGAAUCACUGGGCGUAAAGCGCACGUAGGCGGACUCUUAAGUCAGGGGUGAAAUCCUGGAGCUCAACUCCAGAACUGCCUUUGAUACUGGGAGUCUUGAGUCCGGAAGAGGUAAGUGGAACUGCGAGUGUAGAGGUGAAAUUCGUAGAUAUUCGCAAGAACACCAGUGGCGAAGGCGGCUUACUGGUCCGGUACUGACGCUGAGGUGCGAAAGCGUGGGGAGCAAACAGG